GACGAACGCUGGCGGCGUGCCUAAUACAUGCAAGUAGAACGCACAGUUUAUACCGUAGCUUGCUACACCAUAGACUGUGAGUUGCGAACGGGUGAGUAACGCGUAGGUAACCUGCCUGGUAGCGGGGGAUAACUAUUGGAAACGAUAGCUAAUACCGCAUAAUAUUAAUUAUUGCAUGAUAAUUAAUUGAAAGGUGCAAUUGCACCACUACCAGAUGGACCUGCGUUGUAUUAGCUAGUAGGUGAGGUAACGGCUCACCUAGGCGACGAUACAUAGCCGAACUGAGAGGGUGAUCGGCCACACUGGGACGGAGACACGGCCCAGACUCCUACGGGAGGCAGCAGUAGUGAAUCUUCGGCAAGGGACGAAAGUCUGACCGAGCAACGCCGAGUGAGUGAAGAAGGUUUUCGGAUCGGAAAGCUCGGUUGUAAGAGAAGAACGGGUGUGAGAGUGGAAAGUUCACACUGUGACGGUAUCUUACCAGAAAGGGACGGCUAACUACGUG
rnacentral:rRNA from 1 species